UACGAAGGGGGCUAGCGUUGCUCGGAAUCAUUGGGCGUAAAGCGCACGUAGGCGGUUUGUUAAGUCGGAUGUGAAAGCCCUUGGCUCAACUGAGGAAGUGCACCCGAAACUGAGUGGCUUGAGUACUAAAGAGGGUCGCGGAAUUCCUGGUGUAGCGGUGAAAUGCGCAGAAUAUCAGGAAGAACACCGGUGGCGAAGGCGGACUCGUCGUGGGCCUUAA
rnacentral:rRNA from 1 species